rnacentral:lncRNA from 1 species
CUCAGGCCCCAGAGGGAGCGGCCUGGAGCUCAGGGAGCCAAACUUUCCAUGAGCCACCGGAGCCAUCAGUUUCACUCUCCAUCUGCGAAGCAAUGGACUGGAAGGAAGUCCAGUCUUGGGCCUGAGGAGUUGAUGGGGCAGAGACCACAGACCCGAAU